ensembl:lncRNA
GGCUGAGGAGUUGGCAGAGAGAAAAACACCAGGUCAGGCGAGGGUUGAGACAGGGCAGGAUGAAGAAACUUGGAGUAGCUACACGGAGCAAAGGAAAAAAUUCAGCUUUGUUCUCCAGCUGCAGUGAAAUUUGUUAGAUUGCUGACUAAGACUCCCGGGGAGAUUGUAGGAGUCGCAGAGGAUUUCUUAACGCUGUCACCAGUGACUCCUAAACAUCACCACUAAAGGAUCUCUUUAUCAGCCCAAUCCCACAGGCUUCUGAAGGAGGAAGUCAUACCAGCAACGGGAAAGAACCCUAACACAUGGAGAGGGAAGUGAUGAAAUUAAAAAAAAAAAUUCAGCUGUUGAUGAGAAUGAGUUGCAGAACCAGG